UCAAUCAUAUGUCAGAUUUUUAAAAACCAUGACUUCAUCCUCUCGUUUACAGGAAUUGCAAUGAAAUCACAACAGAGCUGUUUCAUUAUAACAUUCUGCCACCACAGUGCAAAGCAUAGCAGAGGAAGGACAACAAUUCUUUUUCAUCUCUAGUGUCCCCACGUCCAUCCCACAUUUCCCGGCUCCUCAGCACGUAGCCAGAGGUCCCGCAGUGCGAGCGGCAGCACGUGCUGAACAAUGCUGAAUGAUGUGUGCUGGUGUGCACA